rnacentral:rRNA from 1 species
UACAGAGGUCUCAAGCGUUGUUCGGAUUCAUUGGGCGUAAAGGGUGCGUAGGUGGCGCUGUAAGUCGGGUGUGAAAUUUCGGAGCUUAACUCCGAAACUGCAUUCGAUACUGCGGUGCUUGAGGACUGGGAAGAGGAGACUGGAAAUUUCAUGGGUGUAGCAGGUGAAAUGCGUAGAGAUCAUGAGGAAGACCAGUGGCGAAGGCGGGUCUCUGGACAGUUCCUGACACUGAGGCACGAAGGCCAGGGGAGCAAAACGGG